AAUAAAAAACCUCGCUAGCGGUUUGACGUUUGCCGUAAACGUCAACCUUAAGGUCUCUAAUUACCACACGCUGCUUUCGCCCCUUCAAGUAGUCAGAAAACCAGUUCAAGAGUGUACCCGAAAAGUUUAAAUAAAAGCCUGUCAUGGGGAACCGAGUCGAAUGCUUUGGAAAAGUCGGGGCAGAUCAUGUCCGUUUCUUUUCCAGAGUCAAGUGCUUUACCGACAUUGUGGAUCACACCAAGGAGUUGAGUAAUGCAGGACCGAUCUGUACGGAAACCGUGUUCUUGAUCAUGUAAUAGAGGUUUAACAAAAUCAGAAACUCGGACAUGGAUUGCGUGUUCAAGGACUUUGGAAAUCAGUGAUAAUAAGGAGAUUGGUCGAUGAUUACUGAUCACAUGGGGGUCGCCACUUUUAGGGACAGGAACAACAUUUGCUUGUUUCCACUCUGUUGGUACUUUACCGAGAGAUAACGACAUGUUGAACAAUGCUGUUAGAGAGGGAGCAAGCACACCUGAACACUCUUUCAAAAGUCUGGCUGAAAUCCCAUCUGGACCUACAGGUCUUUGCUGUUGAUAGGUUGGAUAGCAACGCAUGAACUUCUUCGGCUGUCACAGCAAUCGUAUCAAGUUGGUCCUCUACUGAUACAGGGUGGUACACAAUGGUGGUACACAAUUUCUAUCAUGAUUUGUUGCUUGUGUUUUACGUAUGUCAUUUAAUUACCAUGGAAACAAUUUUCAAAAAGAUAUUUUUAUCAUAUAAGUUUUAGUUUAGUGGAAACACCACGUACUUUUCAUAUUGCAAAGCUUGGAUCUCCAUCAGUGCUAAUAAUAUCAAGUGAUAUUUUUAUAGUUGAGUAAAAAUCCCACACAUGUGUUUUUACUCUAUAAACUGAUUAUCAAUUAACUUAAUAUUAAAAAAUUUCUAUG
rnacentral:lncRNA from 1 species